GGAUUAGCGGCGGACGGGUGAGUAACACGUGGGUAACCUGGCUCAAAGAGGGGGAUAGCCUCCCGAAAGGGAGAUUAAUACCGCAUAAAAGGUAAAUAUCGCAUGGUAAAUACCUUAAAGGAGAAAUCCGCUUUGAGAUGGGCCCGCGUCGCAUUAGCUAGUUGGAGGGAUAAAAGCCCCCCAAGGCGACGAUGCGUAGCCGACCUGAGAGGGUGAACGGCCACAUUGGAACUGAGAUACGGUCCAGACUCCUACGGGAGGCAGCAGUGGGGAAUAUUGCACAAUGGGGGAAACCCUGAUGCAGCAACGCCGCGUGAGUGAAGAAGGUUUUCGGAUCGUAAAGCUCUGUCAUCCGGGACGAUAAUGACGGUACCGGAAGAGGAAGCCACGGCUAACUACGUGCCAGCAGCCGCGGUAAUACGUAGGUGGCGAGCGUUGUCCGGAAUUACUGGGCGUAAAGGGUGUGCAGGCGGAUAUUUAAGUGAGAUGUGAAAGACCCGGGCUUAACCCGGGCAGUGCAUUUCAAACUGGAUAUCUAGAGUGCAGGAGAGGAGAACGGAAUUCCUAGUGUAGCGGUGAAAUGCGUAGAGAUUAGGAAGAACACCAGUGGCGAAGGCGGUUCUCUGGACUGUAACUGACGCUGAGGCACGAAAGCGUGGGUAGCAAACAGGAUUAGAUACCCUGGUAGUCCACGCCGUAAACGAUGAGUACUAGGUGUAGGGGGUAUCGACCCCCCCUGUGCCGCAGUAAACACAAUAAGUACUCCGCCUGGGAAGUACGAUCGCAAGAUUAAAACUCAAAGGAAUUGACGGGGACCCGCACAAGCAGCGGAGCAUGUGGUUUAAUUCGAAGCAACGCGAAGAACCUUACCUGGACUUGACAUCCCCUGAAUAACUCGUAAUGGAGGA
rnacentral:rRNA from 1 species